GAUGAACGCUGGCGGCGUGCCUAAUACAUGCAAGUAGAACGCUGAAGCUUGGUGCUUGCACCGAGCGGAUGAGUUGCGAACGGGUGAGUAACGCGUAGGUAACCUGCCUCUUAGCGGGGGAUAACUAUUGGAAACGAUAGCUAAUACCGCAUAAAAGUCGAUAUCGCAUGAUAUUGAUUUGAAAGGUGCAAAUGCAUCACUAAGAGAUGGACCUGCGUUGUAUUAGCUAGUUGGUGAGGUAACGGCUCACCAAGGCGACGAUACAUAGCCGACCUGAGAGGGUGGUCGGCCACACUGGGACUGAGACACGGCCCAGACUCCUACGGGAGGCAGCAGUAGGGAAUCUUCGGCAAUGGGGGCAACCCUGACCGAGCAACGCCGCGGGAGUGAAGAAGGUUGUCGGAUCGUAAAGCUCGGUUGUAAGAGAAGAACGAGUGUGAGAGUGGAAAGUUCACACUGUGACGGUAACUUACCAGAAAGGGACGGCUAACUACGUG
rnacentral:rRNA from 1 species